AUGGAUUCAGUGGGAGUGGGAGCGGCCGCCGACAGCGCAACGCCUCUGCUCCUCGCCGCCGCCGUCGCCGUCGCCCUCCUCCUCGUCGGCACGCUGGUCAGGAGGCAUGGAGGGAAUGCCAAGAACGGCCGCCUUCCGCCGAGCCCCGUGGCGCUGCCGCUCAUCGGCCACCUCCACCUCAUCCGCGAGCCCCCGCACCGCGCCUUCCACCGCAUCCUCGCCCGCCACGGCCCGCUCGUCUACCUCCGCCUCGGCCCCUCCACGCACUGCGUCGUCGUCGGCUCCGCCGGCGCCGCCCGCGACGUGCUCAAGUUCGAGGGCAGCAUCCCGGAGCGGCCGCAGACGGCCGUCACGCGCCAGCUCGCCUACGGCUCCUCCGGCUUCGCCUUCGCGCCCUACGGCCCGCACUGGCGCUUCAUGAAGCGCCUCUGCAUGUCGGAGCUGCUCGGCCCGCGCACCAUCGACCUGCUCCGCCCCGUCCGCGCCGCAGAGCUCGCCGGCGUCAUGGGCGCGGCCGCCGCGGCGGCCGCGAACGGCGAGGCGCUGGACGUGAGCAGGCAGCUCAUCCGGCUGUCCAACAACGCCAUGAUGCGGAUGGUCGCCAGCGCGCUGCCCGGCGACAUGGCGGACCUGGCCCGCGACUGCGCCAAGCAGGUGGCGGAGCUGGUCGGCGCCUUCAACCUCGAGGACUACGUGGCGCUGUUCCGCGGCUGGGACCUGCAGGGGCUGUCCCGGCGGACGCGCGGCGUGCACGCCCGGUUCGACGCGCUGCUCGAGUCCAUCAUCCGGGCCAAGGAGAAGGAGCGGCGCGACGGAGCCGACGGGGGCAAGACCAAGGACCUGCUCGACAUCCUCAUGGACGCCGCGGCGGACCCGGCCGCCGAGGUCAAGCUCACCCGGGACAACAUCAAGGCCUUCGUCCUCCAGAUUAGCAGCAAAAUCCAGAUGUUAGGGGGGGCCAGGGCCCCUGCUGGUCCCCCCCUGUCUCCGCCACUGCUUGUGCAUCGAGAUCGAAGUGAGCUGAGCCUGAGUUCAUCGUCCAAUGUCGAACGAAACGAGCAGGAUAUCUUCACGGCCGGGUCGGACACGACGGCGACCAGCGUGGAGUGGAUGCUGGCGGAGCUGCUGGCCCACCCGGACUGCAUGCGGAAGCUGCGGGCGGAGCUGGACGCCGUGGUGGGGAGCUCCCGGGUGGUGGGCGAGCCGGACGUGGCGCAGAUGCCGUACCUGCAGGCGGUGCUCAAGGAGACGCUGCGGCUGCGCCCGCCGGCGGUGAUCGCGCACCGGGAGGCGGUGGAGCCGAUCCGCGUGCGCGGGUACACCAUCCCGGCCGGGACGUCCGUCUUCUUCAACAUCUACUCCAUCGGGCGCGACGCGGCGUGGUGGGAGGACCCGCUGGAGUUCCGGCCGGAGCGGUUCAUGCCGGGCGGCGCCCGCGAGGGCGUGGACCCCAAGGGGCAGCACCCGCAGCUGAUGCCGUUCGGGAGCGGGCGGCGCGCGUGCCCCGGCAUGGGCAUGGCCCUGCUGGCCGUGCCGGCGUUCCUGGCGGCCCUGGUGCAGUGCUUCGACUGGGAGGUGCCCGCCCCGCCGCUGGACAUGGAGGAGGGGGAGGGGCUCGUCAUCCCGAGGAAGCAGCCGCUCCUGCUCCGCCCCACGCUGCGCCUCGGCCAUCUGCCCCUGCCCUAG
rnacentral:rRNA from 1 species